rnacentral:lncRNA from 1 species
GACUAAUGCUAGCAUUCUAGUUCAGGGAGUUCACUUCCUAAAAUGUCUAUUUUCCAGUGCUUGUCACUGCAGCAUGAGAAAUGGGGCGAGCUUCUGAGGGACAAAACCACAUCUUUGGCACAAGGAAGAAUCACAGAGCAAAUAAUGUCUCCUGCCACUGCUCUAGAAUGGGAGUGCUCCAAAUUAUGUUUUGCAGAAGAAUGUGUGAGUCUGUGUGUUGUUCAUGCAGACAGUUUCAGCAUUCAGCUCCGUAUUUCAUGCAAAUCUGUUCCUACAAGCAAGCUUACCAAUGCACUGCAGAUCUGUCCUGUCAUGCACAGAGUCCCAUGAGUGCCACUUUAAUGAUCCAGGUGUAUACACAUCAUCCUCCAAGCAAGUCAGUUUAUUUAAUUUCCUUCUCCUCUGAAGAGCAGUUUCACCUCAAUGGUCCAGUUUCUGAAACAAGACGUCUUGCCCAAUAGCCUAUGUCUGUUACUUGUAGCCUCGUGUAAUUUGGUGUUCCUAUCAGACCUGAUGAAUAUGAUGAGUACAGUAAUAAUGUGCAUUCUCUUAGAUAUUUAUGAAGGUAUUAUAUAGUUUUGUUCCCUAAAAAGCUCUUGAAGUAUGCUUAUCUUUUCAGCCUGAAAAUUAUGGCUGUUUUUCACCUGUGGGCUAUUAACCUUGGUUGAAAAUCAUCCAUAUAUUUAAUCCAAAUUUCUUACUCAAAUGAACCUCACAUUGUUUUAUAUUGCUGUUAUUACUGUUCCCUGCAUGAGAGGCUUUAAUAAAACAUAUCUGCACUUGGCCUACUUCUUUCUU